GGGCAUAUUUACGCUUUAAGCUUAUGAAACAACAUGCACACACCUCCUGUUGUCAAAACAACUAGUGUUAUACACCCGAUAGACCUUGGAAAAGUACUUCAAGAAUAUGAAGGCAUCUGGGAGUGACAGAGUGCAACAGAGCGACAAAGAAAGAAAGAUGGAGCGGAGAGAUGAAGAUGGAACUAGAGAGAGGGGGAUAAGAAAGAAAAAAAAAGGAGAAAAAAAAGAUGAAAAGAGACAGAGAGUGGUCUGGACUCUUACAUUAUUGACACAGGUGGGGGGGCGGGGACAGCCUGGAGGUCCGUAAGCGCUGCGCUCGAUCUCGGCCGUGGGGGUCCGAGAGCGUCCUCGUCCAAUCAUCAGCUUACGAGCCGCCGACGGCACUGGACAAAGGGGGAAGAGUCGCACCUUAGCAAUACUGCAAGAGUCAUCCUGAUUCAGAGCACCCUCCUUCUGUUCCCACAAUACACUGCAUGCAACACAUGUCCCCUCUGAACACUCUCCACCCUCUUGGGGCCAGAUUUACUAAGGGAGGCCACUUCCUGUCUCUGUAGCCAUUGAUGUGUUCUUCUGUAGCCAUGACUGACACACAUCAAAAACAAUUUCCCCCAGGCGCCACAUCCCGACAAGACGUGAUCUACCAUCAGGUGUGAUAAAUCUCAUUUCGUAGUUGACCCACCCACCCCGUCCACUCUGUCAGCACCUAACACAGUACAGGCUCUGGUGCUUUCUAUAAAAAGGACCACAAAUUCCCCACAUAACACAGCACACAUCAACAUCCCACUAAACACAUGCUUCCUGUCCCCACCUCGUGAGGUACACUGAAGUAUGAAGUAUUUCUGCUCACACACUGUCCCUGCAUUCAUAAUCCACAUGCCCCUGGCCACCAUAAAACACACCACUACCCUUACAAAAUAGUUUCCUUGUCAUAUCCUCAACAAUACUUCCUCUUCCUGUAAUACACACAACACUCUUGUCUUCACUUAACAUGUCCAUGUCCAGUGUUCAUUUGGCACGGAUUUUCAAGAUGCACUAUCUCUGGCAGAAAUAUAUAACUGCUAAAGAAAGAUGCGUGGAAACAUCAGUAUUGUGCCGCAUCUCCUCCAGAUGAAGCAUGCAGCUGUGAAACUCAAGAUCUGUUUUGUAAUGUUAUACUGUGAGAGGUAGCUGUGAAACUAAAGAUCUGUUUUGUAAUGUUAUACUGUGAGAGGUAGCUGUUAAACUAAAGAUCUGUUUUGUAAUGUUAUACUGUGAGAGCAUGCAGCUGUGAAACUAAACAUCUGUUUUGUAAUGUUAUACCGUGAGAGCAUGCAGCUGUGAAACUAAAGAUCUGUUUCGUAAUGUUGUACUGUGAGAGCAUGCAGCUGUGAAACUAAAGAUCUGUUUUGUAAUGUUAUACUGUGGUCUUCUGUUUGUGAAGAUGUGGUGUGAGUGAUGCCUAAGUCAAAAUACAACAAACUCAAAAAUGGACACCAACACUCUCACUGCCCAAUAAAAGCACAGUGCUCAGUGAUAUGAUUUCAGGCAGACUUUAGAGAGACAGAAUUCAUUACCAUGCCAAAUUAUCAAUAAGAAAUUUAAAUUUUCACAUCUACGGUUUCACAAGGCCACAUUUUAGCCGAAUGAAGACGACUUGUCAGUAUAAGCUGCAUUAUACACUAACAGCUCACGCCAGCAGAUUAGUGCGGCCGUAGUUGAAUAACUUGCUAAAAGGAUUGGGGAAAGUUUUGUAAGUGCUAGAGCAUGACUGCACUUAGCUUAAGUGUAGCCUGCUACUAUUACAGAGGUUCACCAUUCAGCAUUAUGUAUUCAUCUCUUCAAGUUUAGGCUGGAUGAGUCCGUAUGACACUCGCCCGUAGCCUCAACAGAUAGAUCACGGUAGCACUGUUCCAUCCUCUCCUUAGAGUUGCACGUUUGGCAGCUAGCUUGCUAACCACUUUGAAUACAUAUUUAGUGAAACGUUCAGAGACGCCAUUUAUGUUGUCUAUGAAUUUGUGCGAAGUUUUCAACUAUGUUUUGAAAAAUCACAACAAAAAUCACAGACACCACUGGUAUCAUAGUAUUGCUGUUUAAAUGUUUGAGGUGAAUCCUGCUAACACCUAGACAGCUCCAAGGCUGCUGGGUCUGCCUGGACAGCUAGACAGAGACAUGUCUAGUAGGUCAAAUGCAUGAGAGCAAUGCAAAAGUGUAUGACUUUAGUAUAUGAGGUAUAUAUACAUUUAUUUGAUUAGGCAAAGGGAAAACAUGUUACAUGUAUUGUAUGUAAUCUGCAUAUCAAACCUGGGUACUGCAAUGUAAAGAGUCACUGAUUAGCGGAUAGGUCAAGUUUGUCCAUCUUUGAAAAUGUUCUUUACUUUAGAUUGUCAGUGAAGCCAAACAGUGGAGUUCACCAGUGGAGUAAAUUAGUGGGGUCCAUUCAGAGACAUGGUUCAAGCCUGGUACCAACUCUCCACACUUAGCCUUACAUUAGCAUUCAGUGUCUCUCCCCAUUGAACACACCACAUUCCUACCUGCUCUGGCUCCAGCAACAGCGGGAGCUGUAGCAGGGCUGCCUUGGGCCAUCAGACUAGCCUGGUAGAGGGAGUCCAGCUCAGAAAGCUCCUGUUCCACAGGCUCCAGGUCAGCUCCAGAGCAAGUUCUUCGGACAGGGGCACUAUGCAUCCCUGCCCCCUGGUCAGGAGCACUGGACCAGGGAUCAGGACGGGACGUGCCUCCCUGCGUCCUGGAACUUAAUGAAGGGCUGGUCUCAUGGGCUGGGGAGCAGGGGUCCCAGGUGCUGUCAGGGGGAGUCUUGUAUGGCGCCACUACAGCAUUGGGGCAGUCCAGGCUCCAGGAUGACCAAUGGCACGUGGGCCUCGUUGGGGUCGGGGAACUGGGGCUGAUACGGGAUAGGCUGGGGGAGCGCUGGGAGGCGGAGCUUAGCGGGUGCCACAGCGGGAGACGCAGGUGGUUCUCCCCUUCUCUGCCCUGCACCUCCUCUCUCCUCCCUCGCUUCUCCUCCACGUCUCCGGGGCUGGGCGUGUGGGCAGCAGCAGCAGCAGCAGCAGCAGCGGGCGGUGGCGGUAGCGCUGGUGGUUGGGCAGAGGCUGGGAGCUGGAGAGGUAGAGGGAGAGGGAGGCCGUCUGACCCCGUCACGCCCUGGCUGUGCUGCUCCACCCUCCCCAGCAGGCUCCAGGCGUCCAGGGGCAGCGAGGGCAGGGAGAUGGCCAGGUGCUUGCGGAGGGGCCGGACGGACACACCUGAGGCCUGCAGGAUGUCAGACAACCUGACGCCCUCCCAGCGCUCGUCCUCCCUCGGCCCCGCCUCCUCCGCCGACCUUGGCCAAUCGCAAUUACUCCCAGGCAUGGCGCGGCUAUUGGGUGACUGCUGUGUGGAGGCGAGGGAGGUGACUGAUGCGUGGCUCUGAGAGAAAGAUGGCGUUUGAUUGGUGGAGGAGGGGGACUGAGGGAGGGAAAGGGAGGGCAGGGCAAGGGCAGCGUCCUGAUUGGUGUCCCAGAGCUGGUGGGGGGUUUUCGUCAGCAGUACUUGGAGCGGGCCAGGCUGUUCACUAUUGGGGAGAGAGAGAGAGAGAGAUGGAGAUGUGGUCAGGAUUAUGCUGACAGCAGUCACAACACAGGGGUGGUAUGUGCUGCCAAGACAGGAAACACUGGAGG
ensembl:lncRNA